rnacentral:rRNA from 1 species
UACGUAGGGUGCAAGCGUUAAUCGGAAUUACUGGGCGUAAAGCGUGCGUAGGCGGUUAUGUAAGACAGAUGUGAAAUGCCCGGGCUUAACCUGGGAACUGCAUUUGUGACUGCAUGGCUAGAGUUUGGCAGAGGGGGGUAGAAUUCCACGUGUAGCAGUGAAAUGCGUAGAUAUGUGGAGGAACACCGAUGGCGAAGGCAGCCCCCUGGGUCAAGACUGACGCUCAUGCACGAAAGCGUGGGGAGCAAACAGG